rnacentral:rRNA from 1 species
UAACAAGGAUUCCCCUAGUAACUGCGAGUGAAGCGGGAAAAGCUCAAAUUUAAAAUCUGGCAGUCUUUGGCUGUCCGAGUUGUAAUCUAGAGAAGUAUUAUCCGCGCUGGACCGUGUACAAGUCUCCUGGAAUGGAGCGUCAUAGAGGGUGAGAAUCCCGUCUUUGACACGGACUGCCAGGGCUUUGUGAUGUGCUCUCGAAGAGUCGAGUUGUUUGGGAAUGCAGCUCAAAAUGGGUGGUAAAUUCCAUCUAAAGCUAAAUAUUGGCGAGAGACCGAUAGCGAACAAGUACCGUGAGGGAAAGAUGAAAAGAACUUUGGAAAGAGAGUUAAACAGUACGUGAAAUUGCUGAAAGGGAAACGCUUGAAGUCAGUCGCAUUGGCCAGGGAUCAACCUUGCUUUUUUGCUUGGCUUACUUUCUGGUUGAUGGGUCAGCAUCAAUUUUGACUGGUAGAAAAAGUUCAAGGGAAUGUGGCAUCUUCGGAUGUGUUAUAGCCUUUGUUCACAUAUAUCAGUUGGGAUUGAGGAACUCAGCACGCCGCAAGGCCGGGUUUUUAACCACGUACGUGCUUAGGAUGCUGGCAUAAUGGCUUUAAUCGACCCGUCUUGAAACACGGACCAAGGAGUCUAACAUGCCUGCGAGUGUUUGGGUGAAAAACCCGAGCGCGUAAUGAAAGUGAAAGUUGAGAUCCCUGUCAUGGGGAGCAUUGACGCCCGGAUCUGACCUUUUGUGACGAUUCUGCGGUAGAGCAUGUAUGUUGGGACCCGAAAGAUGGUGAACUAUGCCUGAAUAGGGUGAAGCCAGAGGAAACUCUGGUGGUGGCUCGUAGCGAUUCUGACGUGCAAAUCGAUCGUCAAAUUUGGGUAUAGGGGCGAAAGACUAAUCGA